GACGAACGCUGGCGGCGUGCUUAACACAUGCAAGUCGAGCGGUGCGGCGAACGGGUGAGUAACGCGUGAGUAACUGCCCCCCUCUCUGGGAUAACAGUUGGAAACGGCUGCUAAUACCGGAUAGUGGGGGAUGACUCGCGUCCUAUCAGCUUGUUGGGGGGGUAGUGGCCUACCAAGGCGACGACGGGUAGCCGGCCUGAGAGGGCGACCGGCCACAAUGGGCUGAGUGACGGACCAGACUCCUACGGGGGGCAGCAGUGGGGAGUAUGGCGCAAUGGGGGAAACCCUGUGGCAGCAGCGCCGCGUGCGGGAUGACGGCCUUCGGGUUGUAAACCGCGUUCAGCCAUGACGCGGUAGUGGCAGAAGAAGCACCGGCUAACUACGUGCCAGCAGCCGCGGUAAUUC
rnacentral:rRNA from 1 species